GCUGGUAUGAAGGAUUGGACGAGGAACUUUCUGUCUCUAUCUUAUAUUUUGAAUUUUAUUUUUAAGUUAAAAAGCUUAAGUAUUUUUAUUAGACGAGAAGACCCUAUAGAGUUUUAUAUUUUAGGAUUUUAUAAUAAUUUUAGUAUUAAAUUUCUAAAAUUUUAAAAUAUUUAGUUGGGGUGACGGAAAAAUUAAAGAAACUUUUUCUUUUAAAAAUAUUAAUAUGUACAUUUUUGACUUAUUACAGAAGUUAAAAGAUUUAAUUACCUUAGGGAUAACAGCGUAAUUUUUCUAAAGAGUUCAUAUCGAUAGAAAAGAUUGCGACCUCGAUGUUGGAUUAAAGUUAAAAUUUGGUGCAGAAGCUAGAUGAUUUAGUCUGUUCGACUAUUAAAACUUUACAUGAUCUGAGUUUAAACCGGCGGGAGCCAGGUUGGUUUCUAUCUUUAAUAAUUUUAAUAUAUUUUAGUACGAAAGGACCGAAUAUUAAUUAAAUUAAUUUUCUUUUUAAUAAAAAU
rnacentral:rRNA from 1 species